CCUUCCGUAGGGUGAACCUGCGGAAGGAUCAUUACCGAGUGAGGGCCCUCUGGGUCCAACCUCCCACCCGUGUUUAUCGUACCUUGUUGCUUCGGCGGGCCCGCCUCACGGCCGCCGGGGGGCAUCCGCCCCCGGGCCCGCGCCCGCCGAAGACACACAAACGAACUCUUGUCUGAAGAUUGCAGUCUGAGUACUUGACUAAAUCAGUUAAAACUUUCAACAACGGAUCUCUUGGUUCCGGCAUCGAUGAAGAACGCAGCGAAAUGCGAUAAGUAAUGUGAAUUGCAGAAUUCAGUGAAUCAUCGAGUCUUUGAACGCACAUUGCGCCCCCUGGUAUUCCGGGGGGCAUGCCUGUCCGAGCGUCAUUGCUGCCCUCAAGCACGGCUUGUGUGUUGGGCUCUCGCCCCCCGCUUCCGGGGGGCGGGCCCGAAAGGCAGCGGCGGCACCGCGUCCGGUCCUCGAGCGUAUGGGGCUUCGUCACCCGCUCUGUAGGCCCGGCCGGCGCCCGCCGGCGAACACCAUCAAUCUUAACCAGGUUGACCUCGGAUCAGGUAGGGAUACCCGCUGAACUUAAGCAUAUCAAUAAGCGGAGGAA
rnacentral:rRNA from 1 species